ACAUGUCUAUAUAUGGGCUGUGAUUAAUUUCUCACUUGUGCAGAAAGAUUCCUAGGCAGAUUGAGGUACGAGAGGCUGCCUGUGCACGAGGGGGUAGGGUAGGCUCCUGAUAACUUGUAUCAUUGCAGCUACAAGGACAUCUAAGCUCAAGCAAGGAGAAGUCUUUUCAGACGUCCCGCUGCCGGUUGCUGCCAGGCUCUGGCUCCCUGGAGAGACGACGCAGAGCAUCCCGAAUAGCAAGUGCCUGCAUACGGCCCUCCAUCCGCUCCGCAAUCACCGCAUCCCGCUUGUCCCAGAUGGCACAGGGGAAUAGCCGCUUCUUUUCUGACUCAACCGAGCCUACGCGAGCUACACAUUUCCCACUCCCCCGCUGCUGAAAAGCAAACAAUCCAUUAGGGCUUCGCUGACUGGAUCUGACAUUUCCCAGGUGCAGAUUAACACCCCCUCGGGGCCUGAACACCGUGAAAAUCAACUCAUCGCUUGUGCAUCACUUCCCAUCUCCGCUCCCAGCAACGAGGAGCCCCAGCACCUGCCAGCCCAGUGCUCGGUGCCCGUUGGCAUGGUUUUCCAAAGGAACAGAGGAAGAAGGCCAACGGUGGUGUGAUGGGCCUCGGGCUCACCAUCCUAGCAUUGAGCUGGGAAGGGAGGAUGUCACACAAGGAUUCUGUCAGGUGCUGCUUCAAAUCCAGCCCUGUGCCUGUUGCAUCUUGCAUCCAGGUGAGUUUUAUGCUGAUCAUAUCAACCAGAAGAACAAAGCCAUAGUAGCUGACUGCCUCCCUGGGCUGGCCAUCCCAUGCCACUUUGCCCUCGAGACUGAGUGGUGUGAGAUCCUCAGCACAGCCCUGGAAGGCUGAAGACCCAAGGUAUGAAGUGCCUGACCCGAGCAACCACUUCUGCUGGAGUCAACCAUAAGUUUUUGUUAGAACUGCAGCAAGAAGGCCCUGCUGGAGGAAGAACUCCCCCAGGAGUCAAGAGGAGACCCGUCAGCAUUAGGAACCCAGCCAGUUAACAUCAAUCAUGAUCUUUCCUAGCACCUGUGUUAGGAGCAACAGGAUUAAUCCUUCUUUGGGACAGGAGGACCAGAGGAGGAGACUACACUGUGUCAGAGCACUGGGGAGCUGAGAAGAAAACUGGAAGACAU